CAUCACAGUAAAAGUCUGAUGACAAGUCUGUAACCAAUAAAAUUUGAGGUGGGCGUGGGUUUGACCUUUCGUCUGGGGGUGGAACAGUCCUUUUUGCAACCAUAGCCGGCUUGGACACACUGCUAGCAAAAGGAAAUGGAUGCAAGGACAUUUUAUGGGUGUAAGGAACAUGAUCGAAUCCCAAUGUCUGAGAAGCUGGCUGUAGAUGAGCAGAUGGUCCCCUUCAAGGGAAGAAAUAGACUCAAGCAAUACCUGCCAUCAAAACCAAAGAAAUGGGGCUACAAGAUACUCAUCUUAGCUGGCUCUGAUGGUGUCCCACACAAUUUUGAGAUUUAUACAGGGAGAGCUGUGCAACCCCCUGAGCUGCCAGAUGUAGGAGCAAGUAGUACGUGGGUGGGAUGUAGGACGUGGAUGUUUUGAACAGAAGACGGCUAAGGUUGGAGAAACCACCUUGCAUGUUGUAAAGUGGUAUGAUAACCGUUCAGUCAGUCUUCUCAGUAAUUACAUUGGAGCACACCCAGUCACCAAGGUUGAUAGGUGGGAUGGCAAGCAAAAAAAAAUCAUUCAAGUCCCCUGUCCUGCUGUGGUGAGAGAGUACAAUAAGAAUAUGGGUGGGGUGGAUCUGCUGGACUCUCUCAUUGCACUGUACCGCAACAAAAUCAGAUCGAAGAAGUGGUACCACCGGCUGAUGUUCCACCUUAUUGACAUGACCAUCGUGACUGCCUGGCUGCUCUACAAGAGAGACUGCAGCAGUGCUGGGAUGAGAAAAGACGAACAGAUGAAGCUUUACACGUUUAAGUCAUAUAUUGCAGAAAGCUUGUGCAAAAGUGGCAAGAAUCUGGAACGUAAGAGAGGUCGUCCCAGUUCCACAAUUGCUGGGGAGUAUGAAGAAAAGAGGAGAAGAGGACCCGCUACACCUAUUCCAGUCCCUGAUGUGAGUCUGGAUGCCACAGCCCACUGGAUGGUCAUGGAUGAAAAGAAAGGGAGAUGCAAGGUACCCGGAUGCAAAGGUAGACCUAAAGCCAAGUGCCAAAAAUGUGGCGUGCAUCUGUGUUUCACAUCCACCAGCAACUGCUUCCUGAGGUUCCAUACAGAAUAAUAUAGACUGUGCUUUGUAGGGUUGGAGAAACACUGAUUCAGUCUUUACCCCACAGGAACAUACAUUCAGAAACACAAACAUACACUGUAGCUAAUCUCCAACACACAGAUUGAUAAACCAUCCACUGAUGAUUGUUGAAAUAAAACUUGUUGAAAUUGUUGUUGUCGUUGAAAUAAAACUUUUUAAAUUAA